ensembl:lncRNA
CGAUUGGCCACUACACAGACCAAGGGGCGGAGCCUCUGGUUCACUGUGUGCGACUCCUCUCUGCCUCCUUCCUGCUGACUGGACAGAAGAAUGGGCUGGUCUCUGAUAAAGAGGUCCGUGUCAGUGUGAAGGUUCUAGCAGUCAGCUGUAUCGGAGCAGCAGCUGCCCUUCAUCCUGAAGUCUUCUUCAACUCUCUGUACCUGGAACCACUGGACGGAGAGACACAGCAGGAGCAGCAGUAUAUCAGUGAUGUGUUGUGUCUGGUUGCUCAUGGAGACCCUCAGGUCAGAGGUGCUGCAGGGGUGUUGUGUGGCGCCGUGAUCCACUCUGCUCUCACCAAGACACGUUACAACAUACACGCCUGGAUGGCCAGCGUUCACACCUCUACAGGUAGGAGGGGGGUUCAUUCCUUUAGAGAGAUCCCCCUGGAACUGUAGCUGUGGAUGGUCCAGUUUACACCAGUCACUGUCUGCAGUGACUUCAUGUCGAUCAUCUCCUCUAGUCAAUGAUCAUUUAUUAUCUCUGUCUCUGUCCUGAAUAAAUGGUUGCUUUGGUCUCCUCUCCUCUCUCUCCCUCUGUCCCUUCUCUCUCUCUUCUCCUCCUUCCUCCCCCUCUCCUUCCUCUCCAUCCUCUCCUCCCCCUCUCCUUCCUCUGCUCCCCCUCUCCUUCCUCUCCUCCCCCUCUCCUUCCUCUCCUCCCUCUCUCCAUCCUCUCUUCCCUCUCUCCUUCCUCUCCUCCCUCUCUCCUUCCUCUCCUCCCUCUCUCCUUCCUCUCCUUCCUCUCCUCCUUCUCCUCCCUCUCUCCUUCCUCUCCUUCCUCUCCUCCCUCUCCUUCCUCUCCUUCCUCUCUUCUCCC